rnacentral:rRNA from 1 species
UACGUAGGGUGCAAGCGUUGUCCGGAAUUAUUGGGCGUAAAGAGCUCGUAGGCGGUCUGUCGCGUCGGCUGUGAAAUCCCGAGGCUCAACCUCGGGUCUGCAGUCGAUACGGGCAAACUAGAGUAUUGCAGGGGAGACUGGAAUUCCUGGUGUAGCGGUGAAAUGCGCAGAUAUCAGGAGGAACACCGGUGGCGAAGGCGGUCUGCUGGGGUAAUGCUGACACUGAUGCGCGACAGCGUGGGGAGCAAACAGG